GAGUUUGAUCUUGGCUCAGAUUGAACGCUGGCGGCAGGCCUAACACAUGCAAGUCGAGCGGAUGACGGGAGCUUGCUCCUUGAUUCAGCGGCGGACGGGUGAGUAAUGCCUAGGAAUCUGCCUGGUAGUGGGGGACAACGUUUCGAAAGGAACGCUAAUACCGCAUACGUCCUACGGGAGAAAGCAGGGGACCUUCGGGCCUUGCGCUAUCAGAUGAGCCUAGGUCGGAUUAGCUAGUUGGUGGGGUAAUGGCUCACCAAGGCGACGAUCCGUAACUGGUCUGAGAGGAUGAUCAGUCACACUGGAACUGAGACACGGUCCAGACUCCUACGGGAGGCAGCAGUGGGGAAUAUUGGACAAUGGGCGAAAGCCUGAUCCAGCCAUGCCGCGUGUGUGAAGAAGGUCUUCGGAUUGUAAAGCACUUUAAGUUGGGAGGAAGGGCAGUAAGUUAAUACCUUGCUGUUCUGACGUUACCGACAGAAUAAGCACCGGCUAACUCUGUGCCAGCAG
rnacentral:rRNA from 1 species